UACGGAAGGCAGCAGUGGGGAAUAUUGGACAAUGGGCGCAAGCCUGAUCCAGCCAUGCCGCGUGUGUGAAGAAGGCCUUUUGGUUGUAAAGCACUUUAAGCGAGGAGGAGGCUCUCUUAGUUAAUACCUAAGAUGAGUGGACGUUACUCGCAGAAUAAGCACCGGCUAACUCUGUGCCAGCAGCCGCGGUAAUACAGAGGGUGCGAGCGUUAAUCGGAUUUUACUGGGCGUAAAGCGUGCGUAGGCGGCUUUUUAAGUCGGAUGUGAAAUCCCCGAGCUUAACUUGGGAAUUGCAUUCGAUACUGGGAAGCUAGAGUAUGGGAGAGGAUGGUAGAAUUCCAGGUGUAGCGGUGAAAUGCGUAGAGAUCUGGAGGAAUACCGAUGGGCGAAGGGCAGCCAUCUGGGCCUAAUACUGACGCUGAGGUACGAAAGCAUGGGGAGCAAACAGGGAUUAGAUACC
rnacentral:rRNA from 1 species